GAAACAGCAACUAGUGCAGAAGGCUAUGGCCAGAGGUUGAUGGGAGCCUGCUUUCCAGAGCAUGUUACUCUGCUUUCCAGAGCAUGUUAUUGAGUCCUGUCAGCAGAACCGUCUCUAAAACAUCCCUUUUCCUACAGAGGCCUACCUUGAUAUCAUGUGGGAUUGUGUGGCCAGCGCAUGCCUACCUCAUGCAACUCCCCAGUAAUGUCUAGGAAAUAAAUGUGUGCUGUGAGGUCAUUGCGUUCGGGUCUCUCCCCACCCACAGCCCCCUGCAAGCAACCACUAAUGUGUUGGGAAGCAGGGCAGGGAAAUGCUCAACAUGACGGUGCCACAUUAUACUUUUCUUUUGCCAAACAAUGAAAUACUGCUGUCCUUGGAAGGGAGCACAGAUUCUCCAAGCUGGAUGAAUCAUCCAUUUGGCUAUCAGUUCUGCAUGCCUGAUUCAGACAACUUGUGGCUCGAGAGAAACCUAAGUGGGCAGAACAUAACAAACAAACAAGAGAAAAUGCACAUAUUGCCCCUAAACCCAGGUUGAUCCACUUUCCUCUUAGCAUUCAAAGUCUGCUGUUGAUUUCACAUUUUCAACCACACAAUCUCUCUCUGUGUUUAAGCAUUUCACUGAGUGUGGGGGAAAUCAGAUGCAUUAAGUGUAACUUGGCUCAGAUUUUUUAUUCAAGCUUUUCUUUCCCUUCUCUCCCUUCCAGCUCCUGCUUGGAGAGGUUUUAAUUCGUAUGCAGAUUUCUGCCUUGCGCAAAGGAGUUGCUUCUCCUCACUGAAGGUAUUCGGACAUCAAGGGUGGGGCAGUGAGUGGGAAGGAGCAAAACUCCCCCCCCUCCCAGGAGGGGGCUUUCAACCUUUGUGGAAAAUAAUGAUGUAUGAGACAGGGAUUCUUUUGGAACCCGAAGAGUACAUGACAGAUAGAAUAAUAUGGGGGCCAAACACUGUCAUCCCAAUUGAGACGGAUGGUCUCAUCUCAUCUCACGGUGAUUGUGAGCGGCCCAAGCUGAGAUGAGCUUUCUUACGAAGGACAUCAUUUGGUGGCAGGUAAUGUCUGCCGAACACGCGGUCCCUCAGUGGUAGCUUUCCAUCCAAAGGGCGAGAUCUUGACAGGAGCCAAGGCAGCCUUUGUGCAGGCCUUCAUAGUGGGGUCCCAAAAUGCUUUUUGGGCAUUAUGAUGCAUGCUUGCCAGGAAUGGCAAACCUUAUAUCUGGGUUGAGGGAACCCUCUGUGGCACAGCACACCAUCAGCUUUAUAAACCAACUUCAGUUUUCCCAGGCCUUCAUUCAUUCAAGUCCUGCCCCACUUACUUUUCUCUGUUUUUUAGUAUUAUGAGAAAAGGCUGUUCAUUUGUACGUGGGAAGAUGAAACGCUGGAAUCAAGGAGAGGUGAUCACAUUGGGAAUGAGCUGGGCCUUCUUCGUUCCAGUUUUAAUGUCCAUGAACCUCAGACUCUGGUUCCCUUUGCUCCUUCCCCUCCCUGCCUUGCUGAGCAGUGACAUGAAGAUGGAGUCCUUUAAGUAGGACUAUUUGCAGGAAGAGCCUAUGACCGUGAGAGCUUCCAGGGCCAGGGAUAAGAAAACUCUGCUUCUGAGAACAGGAAAAACAAACCAGCUACAUUAACUCCUUCUUUGGGGUCGUAUAUUUUAAUCAUAACAACCAAAGGUCUAAACUUCCUUUCUGAAAAUGAGGAAAUGACACAAGGCUUUGAAUUGUAGAGUUUCGACUGCAACACACUGAAUGAGCCGUGUUGAAACGGCCCCACAGUACUUUCAUUGUGCCAUAUCUCUGUAUCCAAAGCUUUGGGAACUGUUUGUUAUAAAGAAAGGGCAACAUCAAUCAUUCACUGUUGAACAGGCGGCCAGAUGGGCAAGAGGGGGAACUAGCACAAAUUUAUGGUGCAAUCCUAUGCACAUCUAACUCUGAAGCCUUGCUCCCUGGUAAAGUGCCUUCAGCAACCUGCAGCCUUAGCCCAUUCUUAAGACGAGAUAUUAAAAUGCUAACUUCCCAACUCUGCAAUUCUAAAUCUGUGUCUCUCUUCUUCAUAGGCUGGUCCACACAUGCAGUUUAUCACUUGGGAAUGAAACACCCCGUGUUAUUUUUCAGGUUGGAUGAGGGAUGAUCGAUCACGGACCACAAAAUGUUCUUAGCAUCUCAGGUGCAGAGGGCGUUGGUUCAUGCAUUCAGCUGUGCCAUCUUCGAGUCAGGAAAAAUCAGGUCCUGUGCUUGAAUUUUCAGAUCAAAUAUAUCUUUGCAAAGCUUUCCGUUUCUGGAUGUGAAACUAGACAGAUCUGGGACUGAACUUCUGAAGAUUCUGUGAAUCAAGAACCUAGAAACAAGGCAGCAAUCUGAAGUCCUUGGGGUUUUUAAAGCCACCCCCCACCCCAGAAACCCCAACCUUCCUUAGGACAUUUGAAAACAUCAUAAGAGUUCUGCUGGAAGAAACCAAUGGCCCAUCCAGUCCAUUUCAGACAUCCAUUGCACAUGUAUAGAUGACAGCUCAGGGCACGGAUUGCAGACCACACUUUGCAUUUUCCCAGACCACAAACCACAUGGAUUGUAGGCCUGCCUUUCCGUGUCAGGCAGGAGCCACGCCAGGAAAACGUCC